rnacentral:rRNA from 1 species
CCUACGGGCGGCAGCAGUGGGGAAUAUUGCACAAUGGCCGCAAGCCUGAUGCAGCCAUGCCGCGUGUGUGAAGAAGGCCUUCGGGUUGUAAAGCACUUUCAGCGGGGAGGAAGGCGGUGAGGUUAAUAACCUCAUCGAUUGACGUUACCCGCAGAAGAAGCACCGGCUAACUCCGUGCCAGCAGCCGCGGUAAUACGGAGGGUGCAAGCGUUAAUCGGAAUUACUGGGCGUAAAGCGCACGCAGGCGGUCUGCCAAGUCGGAUGUGAAAUCCCCGGGCUCAACCUGGGAACUGCAUUCGAAACUGGCAGGCUAGAGUCUUGUAGAGGGGGGUAGAAUUCCAGGUGUAGCGGUGAAAUGCGUAGAGAUCUGGAGGAAUACCGGUGGCGAAGGCGGCCCCCUGGACAAAGACUGACGCUCAGGUGCGAAAGCGUGGGGAGCAAACAGGAUUAGAUACCCGAGUAGUC